GGCAACCAAUGCAUGGGCCUAGAGUUGCUAUAACACUAGCAAGGUUUCUCCCAGAUGGUCUGGUAUCAGUUAUAAGAGAUGGUCCUGGCGAAGCUGUUGUAUCAGCACUUGAACAGACUACGGAAACCCCAGAACUUGUAUGGACACCAGCGAUGGCAGCUUCUCUAUCUGCACAGAUUUCAACGAUGGCAUCUGACCUAUAUCGUGAACAAAUGAAAGGACGUGUUGUUGAUUGGGAUGUACCUGAGCAGGCAUCUGCACAGCAAGAAAUGAGAGAUGAGCCUCAGGUUCACUUGUUCAUGCUCAUUCAUGAUUUUAGAAUUAUUUUUUCAUGUUCUUUAUCUCACAGAUUUAGGGUCAUGUAGGUUGGCGGAAUUUAUGUCCGGCUGUUUCUUAAAGAUCCAAAAUUUCCUUUGAGAAAUCCAAAGAGAUUCUUGGAAGGACUGCUGGAUCAGUAUUUGUCAUCAAUUGCUGCCACACAUUAUGACACCCAAGCUAUUGACCCAGAGCUUCCUUUGCUUCUCUCUGCUGCUUUGGUUUCAUUAUUGCGAGUACACCCUGCUCUUGCAGACCACGUCGGAUAUCUUGGUUAUGUGCCCAAACUUGUGGCUGCUGUGGCUUAUGAGGGAAGACGAGAAACCAUGUCAACGGAGGAGGUGAAAAAUGGUAACUCUGAAGCAGAUAGAACAUAUGAAUCGGAUGAUGGAUCUGCGCAGCCUGUACAAACUCCUCAAGAACGUGUCCGCCUUAGUUGUUUGCGGGUCUUGCAUCAACUUGCUGCUAGUACUACCUGUGCGGAAGCUAUGGCUGCUGCUGUACGGCCAAGGCGGAUGUACGGUACAGCAGUUUUAAUUUAUGAUCUGAAGGAUUCAAAUGGCUUUUUAUACGAGGCAUUAUCAAAGGAACUUUAUGUUGGCAAUGUUUACUUGAGGGUCUAUAAUGAUCAGCCUGAUUUUGAGAUCACUGAACCAGAAGCCUUCUGUGUUGCUUUAAUUGAUUUUAUAUCGUAUCUUGUGCACAAUCAAUCUGCUACAAAGUCAGAUGUCCAGGGUGAAGAAAGUCUGGAUGGCUUAUCCUCGAAGAUUGUUCAGGAUAAACUUAGUCUUGAUCCCUCAUCCUCAAAGACGUUUGAGCUUCCAAGUGAUGCUACUGAUUCAUCAAUGAAUGAACGGAAAGUUAAUGAUGAGUCCUUAGCCGUAUCUGACAGAAAAGUGACUGGCAAGGAAGAUUCUGUAAUGAUUAAAAAUCUUCAGUUUGGUUUGACCUCACUUCAGGUACGGUUGUGUUUUGCGCAUUCAAGUUGUUAACAAUUCAUUGUAUAUGAUUUUGUUUCUUUUUUUCCCUUUUUUUUUUUUUUUUUUGCAUUUCCAAUUCGCAGAACAUAUUGACAAGCAAUCCAAAUUUGGCAUCCAUAUUUUCUACCAAAGAAAAGCUAUUGCCUCUUUUUGAAUGCUUUUCUGUGCCAUUUGCACCAGACAGCAACAUUCCUCAGCUUUGCCUGAAUGUGCUGUCUCUCUUGACAACAUGCGCUUCCUGCUUGGAGGCUAUGGUGGCAGAUGGAUCUAGUCUUCUCCUUUUAUUACAGAUGCUUCAUUAUGCACCAGCUUGUCGUGAGGGGGUUCUUCAUGUUCUUUAUGCUUUGGCAAGCACGCCAGAACUUGCUUGGGCAGCUGCCAAGCAUGGUGGAGUGGUUUACAUUCUUGAACUUCUCCUGCCUUCACAACGUAAUGAAUUUAUUCUUGUGCCUUAUUUUUUUCCCAAUCUUAUCUUUUGAAAAGCAAUUUAUUUGUUAAUAUAAUUGGUGAUGUGCAGAAGAAAUUCCAUUGCAGCAAAGAGCUGCAGCAGCCUCUUUAUUGGGGAAGCUUGUUGGGCAACCAAUGCAUGGGCCUAGAGUUGCUAUAACACUAGCAAGGUUUCUCCCAGAUGGUCUGGUAUCAGUUAUAAGAGAUGGUCCUGGCGAAGCUGUUGUAUCAGCACUUGAACAGACUACGGAAACCCCAGAACUUGUAUGGACACCAGCGAUGGCAGCUUCUCUAUCUGCACAGAUUUCAACGAUGGCAUCUGACCUAUAUCGUGAACAAAUGAAAGGACGUGUUGUUGAUUGGGAUGUACCUGAGCAGGCAUCUGCACAGCAAGAAAUGAGAGAUGAGCCUCAGGUUCACUUGUUCAUGCUCAUUCAUGAUUUUAGAAUUAUUUUUUCAUGUUCUUUAUCUCACAGAUUUAGGGUCAUGUAGGUUGGCGGAAUUUAUGUCCGGC
rnacentral:lncRNA from 1 species